AAAAUCCAGUCAGGAAACCACCAGUGUUUUUAUUUGAUGGAUAACAAGAGGCAUUUUGGUGCUGUUUUACAGAUAUCCAAAUAUCUGUGUCCGCAGGGCUCUGUUUAACCUGCUCCUGACAGGACCUUUGUGUCCUGCACUCAAAUGCACCAAAAAAAAAGUCCUCGAGAGUCUUUCCAAAGAGUAAAAGCAGAAUUCCAAACCCCAGGGGUGAAUUCCCAAGGCUGCAAUCCCAAUUUGUUGGGUUUUUUUUGGUUCGUUUCAAAUGUGCAGCAAGCGUUGAAGAGAGGAAAAAAAAAAUAUGAUGACUAAGGACCCAAAAGGAAAAUCCAAAACAACACAAAAAAAGGAAGAGGUGGGAAGAUGAUGGACAGUUACUGUGGAAAAUGGAAUUUCAAAAUUAUCCUUUCCCCUGUCCACCCAUAGCCCUGUGCCUGGAAAGGGAAAGGAAGGAGAAGAGGAAGCAAAACUGCGACAGGAGGGAAUCAGACCAUGGACAUGUUGGAAGCUGGAAUAUACAUCCUGCAUUACAAAGUGCAAAA